CAGCCGCCGCGGGAAUACGAGGGAGGCAAGCGUUAAUCGGAAUUACUGGGCGUAAAGCGUGCGCAGGCGGUUCUAUAAGACAGAUGUGAAAUCCCCGGGCUCAACCUGGGAACUGCAUUUGUGACUGUAGAGCUGGAGUGCGGCAGAGGGGGAUGGAAUUCCGCGUGUAGCAGUGAAAUGCGUAGAUAUGCGGAGGAACACCGAUGGCGAAGGCAAUCCCCUGGGCCUGCACUGACGCUGAGGCACGAAAGCGUGGGGAGCAAACAGGAUUAGAUACCCCUGUAGUCCCUGUCUCUUAUAC
rnacentral:rRNA from 1 species